rnacentral:tRNA from 1 species
AAAAUCCCCGACUUUAGAAAUCGUGAGGGUUCAAGUCCCUCUAUCCCCC